rnacentral:piRNA from 1 species
UACAGAAGCACAUGUUCCAGUACACUAUCC